UACGAAGGGGGGCUAGCGUUGCUCGGAAUCACUGGGCGUAAAGCGCACGUAGGCGGAUCUUUAAGUCAGGGGUGAAAUCCCUGGAGCUCAACUCCAGAACUGCCUUUGAUACUGAAGAUCUUGAGUUCGGGAGAGGUGAGUGGAACUGCGAGUGUAGAGGUGAAAUUCGUAGAUAUUCGCAAGAACACCAGUGGCGAAGGCGGCUCACUGGCCCGAUACUGACGCUGAGGCACGAAAGCGUGGGGAGCAAACAGGG
rnacentral:rRNA from 1 species